UGCAGUUAAAAAGCUCGUAGUUGGAUUUCAGAGUGAGCUCGUCCGGUCGGCCUAAAUGGUCUGAACUGGUUGACUCUCUCUUGCUUGUGGAUCCCGCCCGGAGUUAACUCUUCGGAUGUGGACUUCACAUCGUUUACCUUGAAAAAAUUAGAGUGUUCAAAGCAGGCGUUUGCUUGAAUAUAUUAGCAUGGAAUAAUGGAAUAGGACCCUGGUUCUAUUUUGUUGGUUUUGAGGACCAGAGUAAUGAUUAAUAGGGAUAGUUGGGGGCAUUCAUAUUUCAUUGUCAGAGGUGAAAUUCUUGGAUUUAUGAAAGAUGAACUUCUGCGAAAGCAUUUGCCAAGGAUGUUUUCAUUAAUCAAGAACGAAAGUUAGGGGAUCGAAGACGAUCAGAUACCGUCCUAGUCUUAGCCAUAAACCAUGCCGACUAGAGAUUGGAGGUCGUUAUUUAUACGACUCCUUCAGCACCUUAUGAGAAAUCAAAGUCUUUGGGUUCCGGGGGGAGUAUGGUCGCAAGGCUGAAACUUAAAGGAAUUGACGGAAGGGCACCACCAGGAGUGGAGCCUGCGGCUUAAUUUGACUCAACACGGGGAA
rnacentral:rRNA from 1 species